rnacentral:rRNA from 1 species
UACAGAGGUCUCAAGCGUUGUUCGGAUUCAUUGGGCGUAAAGGGUGCGUAGGCGGCGCGGUAAGUCGGGUGUGAAAUCUCGGGGCUUAACUCCGAAACUGCAUUCGAUACUACCGUGCUUGAGGACUGGAGAGGAGACUGGAAUUUACGGUGUAGCGGUGAAAUGCGUAGAUAUCGUAAGGAAGACCAGUGGCGAAGGCGGGUCUCUGGACAGUUCCUGACGCUGAGGCACGAAGGCCAGGGGAGCAAACGGGG